rnacentral:tRNA from 1 species
UCUAAUAUGGCAGAAUAGUGCGGUAGAUUUAAGCUUUACAUAUAAAGAAAUUAACCUUUUAUUAGAA